rnacentral:lncRNA from 1 species
CCCAAUAGGUUUUCCACAGAGUUAAUGAUUUGGGGAAGCUCUGAAAAGCACCAGCGCAGGGAGAGAGUUACAGAACUAUUUGAACAUUAUAAAUUAUGUUCAUGUUGGUGGGAGUCAGAAGCCUUAUGAGACUGGCCAGGCAAGUAUGCUUAUCUUCAGUGAAGACAGAAGAUCACCGCAGCUGUCUUGGGAAAAGGGCGUUCUCUCCAUCCUGGAGAAGGAAAAUCAGAUCCCUAGCUCAUGAAAGGUGUCUGCCAGCAGAACUUUGCCCACCAGGGCCAUAACCACCUUACACCUCUGCCCGAUGGAGCACGCCAGCACAAGUCCAAGAGUCAGCUUGAACAAGUAAGCUAUUACAGCCCUCCGGGAUCCUUGGCUGCAGCUAUACUGCAGGCGACUACGCAGGGUAACCAAGGUCACAGGGAACUUUGUGCCACUGUAACUAGACAUCCUGAGCAUCUCUGUGCUAGGCUGCAGUCUGCAGCGCAGGCAGAUGCCUCUGCUAAAGGAACAGAGGUGAAACUUCCCUACAAGAACUGAGGGCACCGUUCUGCUUUGGCUGUUACCACAGCAUUGAUAGGAUUCAUCUUUUACAGCAUGCAUUUCCCUGUCAGAGGCAAGUAUCACAGAUACUUGGCUCUUCACCAGCUACCAAUUUUUCUAGCCUAAGAACUGAUGAAAAACAUUUUUGGACAGGCUGAAAAAUGAAGUCUUUCACUCUGCACACAGAGCAGAGAACAGGAGGCAGCAACGCAGGCUUCGUGCUCCAGGAAUCAAUGUGCAAGGCCCUGACGAAUCUUUAAAGGGUUCGAUUCCAACAGGCUGGCAGUGAGAAAUUGCUUGCUCCACAAGCAGUCCUCAUCACCAAACAAACAGCAAACUCCUCUUCAGCGACUGCAAGAGGACUGAGCUCUGACUCUAGAAAUUUGUGCCCUAUGCACAAAUCCACUCUGAAUUUCUCCUGGCAACAGGCAGGCCUCGGUAUGAGAAUAAUGUUCAGACCUAAAUGCAUAGCAUGGACUGGAGGCGAUGGGUAAAGUGGGCUCCGUCUCUCUACACAGAAUGUGUUUGACACCAUUUGCAAAUUCUUCAAGGCACACAGGCAUGAGAUAUGCCCCAGCACGGGAGAAAUGAUUGUCAAAAGUAAAAUAUGAUUGUCAAAUGUUUUGACUCAGUUUCAGUUUUGCAAAGAAACUUUAAAAGCCUGGCUGUCUGAGGGCUUCUGAACUAGCAUAUCCCAGAGAUUUAUAAGACAGUAAUCAAGUAGUCGGUGAACAUGCAUCAUUGCACCAUAUGAAUCUUUUCACUGCACGUCAGAGACCACUACAGGAAAAAAGCUA